GAGUCGAGGGUACCCGACGCCGCUAGUCUAACCCGCACGGGAGGACGGUGUCGAAGGUACGCUUGGUAAGGAGGGUGAAGUCGUAACAAGGUAGCCGUACCGGAAGGUGCGGCUGGAUCACCUCCUUUCUAAGAGAAAGG
rnacentral:rRNA from 1 species